rnacentral:rRNA from 1 species
UCGAACGAUUAAAGCUCUCUUCGGAGAGUGCAUAAAGUGGCGCACGGGUGAGUAACACGUAAGUAAUCUACCUUCGAGUGGGGAAUAACAGUCGGAAACGGCUGCUAAUACCGCAUAAUGCAGCGGCACCUAAUGGUGACAGUUGUUAAAGGAGCAAUCCGCUUGAAGAGGAGCUUGCGGCAGAUUAGCUAGUUGGUAAGGUAAUGGCUUACCAAGGCUUCGAUCUGUAACCGGUCUAAGAGGACGGUCGGUCACACUGACACUGAAUAACGGUCAGACUCCUACGGGAGGCAGCAGUCGGGAAUUUUGGGCAAUGGGCGAAAGCCUGACCCAGCAACGCCGCGUGAAGGAUGAAGUAUUUCGGUAUGUAAACUUCGAAAGAAUGGGAAGAAUAAAUGACGGUACCAUUUAUAAGGUCCGGCUAACUACGUGCCAGCAGCCGCGGUAAUACGUAGGGACCAAGCGUUGUUCGGAUUUACUGGGCGUAAAGGGCGCGUAGGCGGCAUUGUAAGUCACUUGUGAAAUCUCCGGGCUUAACCCGGAACGGCCAAGUGAUACUGCAGUGCUAGAGUGCAGAAGGGGCAAUCGGAAUUCUCGGUGUAGCGGUGAAAUGCGUAGAUAUCGAGAGGAACACCUGAGGUGAAGACGGGUUGCUGGGCUGACACUGACGCUGAGGCGCGAAAGCCAGGGGAGCAAACGGGAUUAGAUACCCCGGUAGUCCUGGCCCUAAACGAUGAAUACUUGGUGUCUGGAGUUAUUAGUGCUCCGGGUGCCGUCGCUAACGUUUUUAGUAUUCCGCCUGGGGAGUACGCUCGCAAGAGUGAAACUCAAA